UUCAAAAAUCUCCGUGCUACCUAAUUACACCACAUUCUA
rnacentral:tRNA from 1 species